GACGUAGGGGGGCCAGCGUUGUUCGGAAUUACUGGGUGUAAAGGGUUCGUAGGCGGUGCGGCAAGUUGGGAGUGAAAUCUCUGGGCUUAACCCAGAGGCUGCUUCCAAAACUGCUGUGCUUGAGUGUGGGAGAGGCGCGUGGAAUUGCAGGUGUAGCGGUGAAAUGCGUAGAUAUCUGCAGGAACACCCGUGGCGAAAGCGGCGCGCUGGACCACUACUGACGCUGAGGAACGAAAGCUAGGGGAGCAAACAGG
rnacentral:rRNA from 1 species